rnacentral:rRNA from 1 species
GAUGAACGCUGGCGGCGUGCCUAAUACAUGCAAGUCGAGCGAACGGACGAGAAGCUUGCUUCUCUGAUGUUAGCGGCGGACGGGUGAGUAACACGUGGAUAACCUACCUAUAAGACUGGGAUAACUUCGGGAAACCGGAGCUAAUACCGGAUGAUAUUUUGAACCGCAUGGUUCAAAAGUGAAAGACGGUCUUGCUGUCACUUAUAGAUGGAUCCGCGCUGCAUUAGCUAGUUGGUAAGGUAACGGCUUACCAAGGCAACGAUGCAUAGCCGACCUGAGAGGGUGAUCGGCCACACUGGAACUGAGACACGGUCCAGACUCCUACGGGAGGCAGCAGUAGGGAAUCUUCCGCAAUGGGCGAAAGCCUGACGGAGCAACGCCGCGUGAGUGAUGAAGGUCUUCGGAUCGUAAAACUCUGUUAUUAGGGAAGAACAUAUGUGUAAGUAACUGUGCACAUCUUGACGGUACCUAAUCAGAAAGCCACGGCUAACUACGUGCCAGCAGCCGCGGUAAUACGUAGGUGGCAAGCGUUAUCCGGAAUUAUUGGGCGUAAAGCGCGCGUAGGCGGUUUUUUAAGUCUGAUGUGAAAGCCCACGGCUCAACCGUGGAGGGUCAUUGGAAACUGGAAAACUUGAGUGCAGAAGAGGAAAGUGGCAUUCCAUGUGUAGCGGUGAAAUGCGCAGAGAUAUGGAGGAACACCAGUGGCGAAGGCGACUUUCUGGUCUGUAACUGACGCUGAUGUGCGAAAGCGUGGGGAUCAAACAGGAUUAGAUACCCUGGUAGUCCACGCCGUAAACGAUGAGUGCUAAGUGUUAGGGGGUUUCCGCCCCUUAGUGCUGCAGCUAACGCAUUAAGCACUCCGCCUGGGGAGUACGACCGCAAGGUUGAAACUCAAAGGAAUUGACGGGGACCCGCACAAGCGGUGGAGCAUGUGGUUUAAUUCGAAGCAACGCGAAGAACCUUACCAAAUCUUGACAUCCUUUGACAACUCUAGAGAUAGAGCCUUCCCCUUCGGGGGACAAAGUGACAGGUGGUGCAUGGUUGUCGUCAGCUCGUGUCGUGAGAUGUUGGGUUAAGUCCCGCAACGAGCGCAACCCUUAAGCUUAGUUGCCAUCAUUAAGUUGGGCACUCUAAGUUGACUGCCGGUGACAAACCGGAGGAAGGUGGGGAUGACGUCAAAUCAUCAUGCCCCUUAUGAUUUGGGCUACACACGUGCUACAAUGGACAAUACAAAGGGCAGCGAAACCGCGAGGUCAAGCAAAUCCCAUAAAGUUGUUCUCAGUUCGGAUUGUAGUCUGCAACUCGACUACAUGAAGCUGGAAUCGCUAGUAAUCGUAGAUCAGCAUGCUACGGUGAAUACGUUCCCGGGUCU